rnacentral:rRNA from 1 species
UACGUAGGGUGCGAGCGUUGUCCGGAAUUAUUGGGCGUAAAGAGCUCGUAGGCGGUGUGUCGCGUCGGUCGUGAAAACUUGGGGCUUAACCCUGAGCUUGCGGUCGAUACGGGCAUCACUGGAGUUCGGCAGGGGAGACUGGAAUUCCUGGUGUAGCGGUGAAAUGCGCAGAUAUCGGGAAGAACACCCGUGGCGAAGGCGGUUCUCUGGGACGGUACUGACGCUGAGACGCGAAAGCGUGGGGAGCGAACAGG